CCAACCCAUCCACAUUUCUAAAGCACUUCAGAAGUGUUCUUUUUUUGUUAAUCGGCGUUCAAAUUUUUAUUAUUAUUAUCAUCAUAAUUAGAAAUCUGGACUACUUCCUCCUCACAAUUUCUUCACCUUCCUAAGGCUAAUUGGGUAAAAACUUGGGUAGUCUCGCCAAGACAUCUUAAAGAUUCACAGGAAAAUGAAUUUGAUGGGAGGGAUUGAUCUCAAGAAGAUUGCUGAGAAAAUGAAUGGUGCCUCUGGUGCAGAAUUUAAGGCUGUUUGCACUGGAGCAGGGAUGUUUGCUUUGAGAGAGAGAGGGUUCAUGUCACUCAGGAAGACUUUGAGAUGGCAGUCGCGAAGGUAAUGAAGAAGGAAACGGAUAAAAAUAUGUUGGAAGUAGAUCAGUUAUUCCUAGCAGCUACUUAAUUCGGUCUUGUGGUUGAGCUGAAAGACAUGAAUUGCACGAUAAAACCCACUUGUAUAUUUGUGCUCGACCUCAUGAGUCACAACUUAUGUGACAGUUUUAUUGUGAUUUGUUAACUUGCUGCAAAUGUUAUAUCUGGAUACAUAACACAUGCAAUUAAACAGCUUAACUACCAUCUAAUUGUUUGUCUA